GUAAGUCAGAGGUGAAAGUCGGUUGCUUAACGAUCGAAUUGCCUUUGAAACUGUCAGACUUGAGUAUGGAUGUGGUAGGCGGAAUGUGUAGUGUAGCGGUGAAAUGCAUAGAUAUUACACAGAACUCCAAUUGCGAAAGCAGCUUACCAAACCAGCACUGACGCUGAAGCACGAAAGCGUGGGUAGCGAACAGGAUUAGAUACCCUGGUAGUCCACGCAGUAAACGAUGCUCACUCGCUGUUGGCAAUACACCGUCAGCGGCUAAGGGAAACCGAUAAGUGAGCCACCUGGGGAGUACGAUCGCAAGAUUGAAACUCAAAGGAAUUGACGGGGGCCCGCACAAGCGGUGGAACAUGUGGUUUAAUUCGAUGAUACGCGAGGAACCUUACCUGGGCUUAAAUGUGAAGUGCAUUGUUUGGAAACAGACAUUUCCUUCGGGACUCUUUACAAGGUGCUGCAUGGUUGUCGUCAGCUCGUGCCGUGAGGUGUCGGGUUAAGUCCCAUAACGAGCGCAACCCCUAUUGUUAGUUACCAGCGCGUCAAGGCGGGGACUCUAACGAGACUGCCGGUGUAAACCGCGAGGAAGGUGGGGAUGACGUCAAAUCAGCACGGCCCUUAUGUCCAGGGCUACACACGUGUUACAAUGGUCGGUACAGAGGGCAGCUAGGCAGCGAUGUCAAGCGAAUCUCGAAAGCCGAUCCCAGUUCGGAUUGGAGUCUGCAACCCGACUCCAUGAAGGUGGAAUCGCUAGUAAUCGCGCAUCAGCCAUGGCGCGGUGAAUACGUUCCCGGGCCUUGUACACACCGCCCGUCAAGCCAUGAAGUCUGGGG
rnacentral:rRNA from 1 species